GGCAAUAUUACUUUGAAACACCGGUACGAUCACUGAAGUUAAGCAACGUUGAUCCUGAUCAGUAUCUAGAUGGGUGACCGCUUGGGAAUACCAGGUA